rnacentral:pre_miRNA from 1 species
GCUAGGAAGAGGAAGAAAGAGAGGGCUUAAGAGCAAUGGGGAUGAGAACAUGGAGGAAAGCCUAAGUUAUCGGUUCUUCACCUCUUGUGUCGAGGUGGAAAUCCCAUUGGUUUUUCCCGAUGCCUCUCAUUCCUAUCGUCCUUAAGCGCUCCUUCCUCUUCCUUUUUGUU